GAACAAUCGAAACCGCACGGUUUUGAUUUGAAAGGCGCUUUCGGGUGUCGCUGAUGGAUGGACCCGCGGUGCAUUAGCUAGUUGGUGAGGUAACGGCUCACCAAGGCGACGAUGCAUAGCCUACCUGAGAGGGUGAUCGGCCACAUUGGGACUGAGACACGGCCCAAACUCCUACGGGAGGCAGCAGUAGGGAAUCUUCGGCAAUGGACGAAAGUCUGACCGAGCAACGCCGCGUGAGUGAAGAAGGUUUUCGGAUCGUAAAACUCUGUUGUUAGAGAAGAACAAGGAUGAGAGUAACUGUUCAUCCCUUGACGGUAUCUAACCAGAAAGCCACGGCUAACUACGUGCCAGCAGCCGCGGUAAUACGUAGGUGGCAAGCGUUGUCCGGAUUUAUUGCGCGUAAAGCGAGCGCAGGCGGUUUCUUAAGUCUGAUGUGAAAGCCCCCGGCUCAACCGGGGAGGGUCAUUGGAAACUGGGAGACUUGAGUGCAGAAGAGGAGAGUGGAAUUCCAUGUGUAGCGGUGAAAUGCGUAGAUAUAUGGAGGAACACCAGUGGCGAAAGCGGCUCUCUGGUCUGUAACUGACGCUGAGGCUCGAAAGCGUGGGGAGCAAACAGGAUUAGAUACCCUGGUAGUCCACGCCGUAACGAUGAGUGCUAAGUGUUGGAGGGUUUCCGCCCUUCAGUGCUGCAGCUACCGCAGUAGGCACUCCGCCUGGGGAGUACGACCGCAGGUUGAAACUCAACGGAAUUGACGGGGCCCGCACAGCUGUAGUAGCAUGUGCUUAAUUCGAUCACGCGAGACUACCAGUCUGACAUCUUUGACACUCUAGAGAUGAGCUC
rnacentral:rRNA from 1 species